UGCGGCUGGAUCCCCUCCUUUCUAGGGAGUGACGACUGGAUGGGCGAUCCACAAGAUCACCAUCCAGAUCAUCCCAGGUUGACGAGUCAAGUUGGCUUGGCUCACCACACUAUUCGUUAAUUCUUGGUUUCCAAUUAGAACCGAUAUACUUGUCGGGCCUAUAGCUCAGUUGGUCAGAGCGCACGCCUGAUAAGCGUGAGGUCGAUAGUUCAAAUCUAUCUAGGCCCACCAGGUUCCGGAGACGAUUCCUUAAGGUUUGGGGAUAUAGCUCAAUUGGGAGAGCACCGCCUUUGCAAGGCGGGGGUUGCCGGUUCGAGUCCGGUUAUCUCCACCAAUUAGGGGAUUUUUUGGCAGGUGCCAGACACGAUCUUUGACAACUAGCAGGGUAAGAGAGCGGUAUUUGAUCCUUAGAUGCUAAUUGAGUAAAGCUACUAAGGGCGCAGCGGUGGAUGCCUUGGCA
rnacentral:misc_RNA from 1 species